rnacentral:lncRNA from 1 species
UCACAUACCAAGCUAGAGUUCAAUUAGAAAGUUGGAGAUCAGUAACUCCAGAACACUGGCCAGAGGGUCAGAAGAGCUGACUCGUGGACAUUCUCAUUGCGGGCGCAGGUCAGUUGCCGUGAUGCUCCUUGAGUCAAUGAGCUCUUUGGUCUGCUCUUCUGCUCAAGCAGAAAAUGAUCUGCGCUUCACCCUUGAGAAGCUGACAAGAACCACAGGCUUCUUCAGGCUCUAGCCUGAUUUUCUGGCUCAUAAGGCCAAAGGGAGCUGGAAAGGUCCCCACGGCAGGACUCAUGGUGGAGAGAGAAUGAUCUAGAGGAUUCAGGCCUCUGCACACUGUGUCUGGGUCCCUCCUUAAAGAAUGAUAAAGACAAGUAAAGAGCUUGAAGCAGCCUGGAGUCCAGCCAGAAACCUUUAACUGAGCUUUAAAGGAGAUGGUCACAACACUUUUCAGAAUACUGGCAAAGGCCUCCUGUGGCCAAGUUUGUCCUGGGAUGAGCAAAAUUUAAUGUUAACCUGCUGUAUCUUUGCUUUUAAUAUAUCUGCUUGCCCAUCACAAUGAUAUUAUGGUUAAUUUCACCAAUUUGGUAACCUGCCUCUUGGGAAGUACGAAAGUAAGCAAGGGCCAGGUAUGGUGACUCACGCCUGUAAUCCCAGUACUUUGGGUGGCUGAGGUGGGUGGAUUGCUU